AUCAGGUUCAUCACUGUUUGGAUUUUCAGCGUGGCUGGGAAGUAGAAGGUCCUGCUGGCCAGCUGGACUGGCAUUUUCUGGCUUUUUUUGGAAGGUCUUCAGAGCCACCCCAGCUCUCCCCUCCGAUCCACCUCGCGCCACAUCGGCAGACAUGAUCAUCAGACUGGGCAGACUGACACCUGGUUACUUCCGCCUCCUCCAGAGGCAAGUUGCUGGUGAGGUGCAGACACAGCCACAAGACCGUGCUGUCAACCAGCUAGCCAUGAUGCUGGCCAUCAUGGGCCUGAGUUUGUCCUACUACAGUGCCAAACAGAUGACGGAGAAGGUCCAGGCCCAGCCUUCGUCCUGAGGAGACUUGACUACUCUGAUGGAUCUCCGUGGAGAUAAUGGAUGAGCCAAUGAGAAGUGAAGGAGAUGGAGCGAGGAAGCAGGAAGGGGAGCAGUGUCUUCCAGGACCGCACUUUUCUCACCUCACAGUCACAGUCACACUCAGACACUGAAUUUCUGGUAUUCCUCACUCACCAUACGUGGAGAUUUCAGGGCUGCUGCUAAGUGUUUUCUAUACUUUCUGUUGUUGGGACCUUGAGGGAUUAGUGGGGGCAGCUUACUCUGGAUAGGACUGGUUUUAUUAACUGGUUUGGGUGGGUGAUCAAAACCAGCUGACUGUCAACUGGGUCUGACCAUUAGUCAUUACAAAGGUACAUACUUGCAAGAUGCUGCCAGUACUGUUCUGGGCAACAAAAAAAAGGGGGGGAAACUGUGAAUUUUGUCAGUGCCAGUGCUCAAAGCCUGCCCAAAUACGGUUUAAUAACAUGAACAGUAAUGCCUUCUAAGGGAAAGCUGACUGCAGUUGCGAGGUACCUUGUAACAGAGUGAUGGCAAGCCCAGACCAUGGUUAAAGGGGAUGAAAAGUUAGUUCAACCCUUUUAGGUUUUCCGUUUUUUUCCCCUUUCACGAGAGAAUCUCGCAGAGCCUGUGAACAGAACAGGAGCUGUACUCACAUACUGUCAAUAUAUAUACUUGUGAAAUGUAUCUGUCAGGUGUCAUAUUGAGUAUUUGCACAAAACUGCGGUAAUGUUUUUAGAUACUACUACAUCUGCAAAGGGACUUAAAAUUACUCACUACCUUUUUAUAUGGUGUUUUUCUUCUGUUAUUAAACACUGUUUAACAUUAAUUGAUGAAGUCCUUUUAAUGUGUGACUACCUUGAUAGGCACCCUGGUUAAGAACCCUUCCUGCAGUGUGAACUACAUGUUAAUGCAAACAUUUAACUUUACCGAACAUUGCAUGGGUGUGCAGACUUUUAAUCAAAGCAAAAUUCAUGUCAUUCAUUUCUGUGUUGUUUUUAUUGAUGAAUGAAUGUAUUACUUUAUUUUGUAAUGAUUUAAUAAAGCUGUGAAUAUUUUGAACGGGA